rnacentral:rRNA from 1 species
UACAGAGGUCUCAAGCGUUGUUCGGAUUCAUUGGGCGUAGAGGGUGCGUAGGCGGCGCGGUAAGUCGGGUGUGAAAUCUCGGGGCUUAACUCCGAAACUGCAUUCGAUACUGCCGUGCUUGAGGACUGGAGAGGAGACUGGAAUUUACGGUGUAGCGGUGAAAUGCGUAGAUAUCGUAAGGAAGACCAGUGGCGAAGGCGGGUCUCUGGACAGUUCCUGACGCUGAGGCACGAAGGUCAGGGGAGCAAACGGG